GACGAACGCUGGCGGCGUGCCUAAUACAUGCAAGUCGAACGAGAGCGACCGGUGCUUGCACUGGUCAAUCUAGUGGCGAACGGAUGAGUAACACGUGGGUAACCUGCCCAUCAGAGGGGGAUAACAUUCGGAAACGGAUGCUAAAACCGCAUAGGUCUUCGAACCGCAUGGUUUGAAGAGGAAAAGAGGCGCAAGCUUCUGCUGAUGGAUGGACCCGCGGUGCAUUAGCUAGUUGGUGAGGUAACGGCUCACCAAGGCCGUGAUGCAUAGCCGACCUGAGAGGGUGAUCGGCCACAUUGGGACUGAGACACGGCCCAAACUCCUACGGGAGGCAGCAGUAGGGAAUCUUCCGCAAUGGACGCAAGUCUGACGGAGCAACGCCGCGUGAGUGAAGAAGGUUUUCGGAUCGUAAAACUCUGUUGUUAGAGAAGAAUAAGUGCUAGAGUAACUGUUAGCGCCUUGACGGUAUCUAACCAGAAAGCCACGGCUAACUACGU
rnacentral:rRNA from 1 species